rnacentral:lncRNA from 1 species
UGCCUUUUGCUCUUGAAGUUUACUACAGUAUAUGAAUAUGUAGUCAACUUUUCAGAUGGUGUUUUAUAAACAACUAUAGUAUAUGAAUACUAAGUUAUAUUAUAAACACAAGUUAUAUUAUAGAGUAAAUGACCAGAUAACUGGAUAUAUAUUUGAUAAGCAAGAUAUGACCAGAUAACUGGAUAUAUAUAUGAUAAGUAAAUGCUUGAACAAAUAUAUGAAUAAAGAUUUAAAGCAAUGAAUAUAACCUCAGAUAGUUGACCAGAUAACUGGAUGAGGGAUCUGCGUAAAGUAGUCAACCUCUGUAUUUGACCAGAUAACUGGAAGAGGGAUCCUUUUCAAUUUAGUGUUGUUUAGUUGUUUUUCGAUGAAAGAUAAAAACUAAAGUUAACAAAGAACAACACAAGAGAUUUAUACUGGUUCACCCAAACAAGGGCUAAUCCAGUCCCGACCAACUGUCGGAAUUCACUCGCCUAAAAGUUAUGGCAAAACCUUAGAG